GUGAGUCAUCGAAUCUUUGAACGCAUAUUGCGCCCUUUGGCAUUCCGAAGGGCAUGCCUGUUCGAGCGUCAUUAUCACCCCUCAAGCCCCCCGGCUUGGUGUUGGAGACGGUUUGGUUCUGGCGACAAGACCCCUCCGAAAGCUAAUGACGGCGGCCUGUGCAACUCCCGGUACACUGAGCUUCUUAACUGAGCACGUACUGGCUUCAGGGUUGACGGGGCCGGUCUUCUUCCUUCACGGGAAACACUUUCCACAAGGUUGACCUCGGAUCAGGUAGGGAUACCCGCUGAACUUAAGCAUAUCAAUAAGCGGAGGA
rnacentral:misc_RNA from 1 species